UACGGGGGGGGCAAGCGUUGUUCGGAAUUACUGGGCUUAAAGGGCUUGUAGGUGGCCAACUAAGUCAGACGUGAAAUCCCUCAGCUUAACUGGGGAACUGCGUCUGAUACUGGAUGGCUUGAGAUUGGGAGAGGGACGCGGAAUUCCAGGUGUAGCGGUGAAAUGCGUAGAUAUCUGGAGGAACACCGGUGGCGAAGGCGGCGUCCUGGACCAACACUGACACUGAAAAGCGAAAGCCAGGGGAGCAAACGGG
rnacentral:rRNA from 1 species